GACGAACGCUGGCGGCGUGCUUAACACAUGCAAGUCGAACGGAAAGGCCCUGCUUGCAGGGUACUCGAGUGGCGAACGGGUGAGUAACACGUGGGUGAUCUGCCCUGCACUUCGGGAUAAGCCUGGGAAACUGGGUCUAAUACCGGAUAGUAGCCAUUUUUAGUGUGAUGGUUGGAAAGUUUUUUCGGUGUAGGAUGAGCUCGCGGCCUAUCAGCUUGUUGGUGGGGUAAUGGCCUACCAAGGCGGCGACGGGUAGCCGGCCUGAGAGGGUGGACGGCCACAUUGGGACUGAGAUACGGCCCAGACUCCUACGGGAGGCAGCAGUGGGGAAUAUUGCACAAUGGGCGCAAGCCUGAUGCAGCGACGCCGCGUGGGGGAUGACGGCCUUCGGGUUGUAAACUCCUUUCGCUAGGGACGAAGCUUUUGUGACGGUACCUAGAUAAGAAGCACCGGCUAACUACGUG
rnacentral:rRNA from 1 species